rnacentral:rRNA from 1 species
UGCUAAUCUGCGAUAAGCGUCGGUAAGGUGAUAUGAACCGUUAUAACCGGCGAUUUCCGAAUGGGGAAACCCAGUGUGUUUCGACACACUAUCAUUAACUGAAUCCAUAGGUUAAUGAGGCGAACCGGGGGAACUGAAACAUCUAAGUACCCCGAGGAAAAGAAAUCAACCGAGAUUCCCCCAGUAGCGGCGAGCGAACGGGGAGCAGCCCAGAGCCUGAAUCAGUGUGUGUGUUAGUGGAAGCGUCUGGAAAGGCGCGCGAUACAGGGUGACAGCCCCGUACACAAAAAUGCACAUGCUGUGAGCUCGAUGAGUAGGGCGGGACACGUGGUAUCCUGUCUGAAUAUGGGGGGACCAUCCUCCAAGGCUAAAUACUCCUGACUGACCGAUAGUGAACCAGUACCGUGAGGGAAAGGCGAAAAGAACCCCGGCGAGGGGAGUGAAAAAGAACCUGAAACCGUGUACGUACAAGCAGUGGGAGCACGCUUAGGCGUGUGACUGCGUACCUUUUGUAUAAUGGGUCAGCGACUUAUAUUCUGUAGCAAGGUUAACCGAAUAGGGGAGCCGAAGGGAAACCGAGUCUUAACUGGGCGUUAAGUUGCAGGGUAUAGACCCGAAACCCGGUGAUCUAGCCAUGGGCAGGUUGAAGGUUGGGUAACACUAACUGGAGGACCGAACCGACUAAUGUUGAAAAAUUAGCGGAUGACUUGUGGCUGGGGGUGAAAGGCCAAUCAAACCGGGAGAUAGCUGGUUCUCCCCGAAAGCUAUUUAGGUAGCGCCUCGUGAAUUCAUCUCCGGGGGUAGAGCACUGUUUCGGCAAGGGGGUCAUCCCGACUUACCAACCCGAUGCAAACUGCGAAUACCGGAGAAUGUUAUCACGGGAGACACACGGCGGGUGCUAACGUCCGUCGUGAAGAGGGAAACAACCCAGACCGCCAGCUAAGGUCCCAAAGUCAUGGUUAAGUGGGAAACGAUGUGGGAAGGCCCAGACAGCCAGGAUGUUGGCUUAGAAGCAGCCAUCAUUUAAAGAAAGCGUAAUAGCUCACUGGUCGAGUCGGCCUGCGCGGAAGAUGUAACGGGGCUAAACCAUGCACCGAAGCUGCGGCAGCGACGCUGAUGCGUUGUUGGGUAGGGGAGCGUUCUGUAAGCCUGCGAAGGUGUGCUGUGAGGCAUGCUGGAGGUAUCAGAAGUGCGAAUGCUGACAUAAGUAACGAUAAAGCGGGUGAAAAGCCCGCUCGCCGGAAGACCAAGGGUUCCUGUCCAACGUUAAUCGGGGCAGGGUGAGUCGACCCCUAAGGCGAGGCCGAAAGGCGUAGUCGAUGGGAAACAGGUUAAUAUUCCUGUACUUGGUGUUACUGCGAAGGGGGGACGGAGAAGGCUAUGUUGGCCGGGCGACGGUUGUCCCGGUUUAAGCGUGUAGGCUGGUUUUCCAGGCAAAUCCGGAAAAUCAAGGCUGAGGCGUGAUGACGAGGCACUACGGUGCUGAAGCAACAAAUGCCCUGCUUCCAGGAAAAGCCUCUAAGCAUCAGGUAACAUCAAAUCGUACCCCAAACCGACACAGGUGGUCAGGUAGAGAAUACCAAGGCGCUUGAGAGAACUCGGGUGAAGGAACUAGGCAAAAUGGUGCCGUAACUUCGGGAGAAGGCACGCUGAUAUGUAGGUGAAGUCCC